rnacentral:rRNA from 1 species
AUACGUAGGGGGCGAGCGUUGUCCGGAAUGAUUGGGCGUAAAGGGCGCGUAGGCGGCGCGGUAAGUCUGGAGUGAAAGUCCUGCUUUCAAGGUGGGAAUUGCUUUGGAUACUGCCGCGCUUGAGUGCAGGAGAGGUUAUCGGAAUUCCCGGUGUAGCGGUGAAAUGCGUAGAGAUCGGGAGGAACACCAGUGGCGAAGGCGGGUAACUGGACUGCAACUGACGCUGAGGCGCGAAAGUGUGGGGAGCAAACAGGAUUAGAUACCCUGGUAGUCCACACUGUAAACGAUGAAUGCUAGGUGUAAGAGGUAUCGACCCCUUUUGUGCCGGAGUCGACACAAUAAGCAUUCCGCCUGGGGAGUACGGCCGCAAGGUUGAAACUCAAAGGAAUUGACGGGU